GGAUUAGAUACCCUGGUAGUCCACACCGUAAACGCUGUCUACUAGCUGUGUGUGCCUUUAAGGCGUGCGUAGCGAAGCUAACGCGCUAAGUAGACCGCCUGGGGAGUACGGCCGCAAGGUUAAAACUCAAAUGAAUUGACGGGGGCCCGCACAAGCGGUGGAGCAUGUGGUUUAAUUCGAUGCAACGCGAAGAACCUUACCUACACUUGACAUGCAGAGAACUUUCUAGAGAUAGAUUGGUGCCUUCGGGAACUCUGACACAGGUGCUGCAUGGCUGUCGUCAGCUCGUGCCG
rnacentral:rRNA from 1 species